GGGUCAGUAGGUUGGUCGUGCCACCGGUACGUACUGGUCUCACUGAUUCCUCCUUCCUGAAGAACCGUAAUGCCAUUAAUAUGGUGUUGCGGGGAAACAGGACUGUUACUUUGAAAAAAUUAGAGUGUUUAAAGCAAGCUAACGCUUGAAUACAUUAGCAUGGAAUAAUGAAAUAGGACGAUCGAUCCUAUUUUGUUGGUUUCUAGGAUUGACGUA
rnacentral:rRNA from 1 species